rnacentral:misc_RNA from 1 species
GAUGAAGAACGUAGCGAAAUGCGAUAAGUAGUGUGAAUUGCAGAAUUCAGUGAAUCAUCGAAUCUUUGAACGCACAUUGCGCCCUUUGGUAUUCCAAAGGGCAUGCCUGUUCGAGCGUCAUUUGUACCCUCAAGCUUUGCUUGGUGUUGGGCGUCUUGUCUCUAGCUUUGCUGGAGACUCGCCUUAAAGUAAUUGGCAGCCGGCCUACUGGUUUCGGAGCGCAGCACAAGUCGCACUCUCUAUCAGCAAAGGUCUAGCAUCCAUUAAGCCCUUUUUUCAACUUUUGACCUCAGAUCAGGUAGGGAUACCCGCUGAACUUAAGCAUAUCAAUAAGCGGAGGA